rnacentral:rRNA from 1 species
UACGUAGGGUGCGAGCGUUGUCCGGAAUUAUUGGGCGUAAAGGGCUCGUAGGCGGUCUGUCGCGUCGGGAGUGAAAACUCAGGGCUUAACCCUGAGCCUGCUUCCGAUACGGGCAGACUAGAGGUAUGCAGGGGAGAACGGAAUUCCUGGUGUAGCGGUGGAAUGCGCAGAUAUCAGGAGGAACACCGGUGGCGAAGGCGGUUCUCUGGACCGAGACUGACGCUGAGGCGCGAAAGCGUGGGGAGCAAACAGG